CGAGCCGCCGCUUUGGUCACAGUGACCGCCACCGUUGCCCGGGUAUGGGUCCCUGAGACUUGGCGAAGUAGGAGCCCUGUGUGAUCGUGCGUCAGAGUCGGGGCUGAGACCAGCCCUGGCCAGGGCAGUUACCAGGACGGUCUCCGGAGGCCGGGAUUCGCGGAGGGUCCACCAGCAGGAAGAAACCCCAGGAGGAAGAAACCUCAGACAGAUCGCCGGGGAGGCAGCGCGGGAUCCCAGCCUCAGGCGUGCGCGGACGGUGUGCGGGGAAUUUUGUACAGAGUUCCUAAAAAAAGGGAUCAUGAUGCCAGUGUAUUGCCUCACUGAUUGCUAAAUGAAGAGGACUAUACUGAAGCAUUCAAAGAACGUGAUGUGCCUCUGGGGCAACUGAAGGAUUGCUAUCUGACUUAUGCAUUUAAAACCUUCAAAGUGGAAGUUUGUCUGGAAUGGCUUAGGCAAACAGACUGGGUUGGAUUGAGAAUUGAAUGUAUACAUAAAAUUUGGUUUGGUCAGAUGAGAACACCAAAUGUGGUAGCUAGCUCACCUUUAUUUAUGAGAUUUUUAUUGGGUUGAUUUGUCUUGAAAGAAUCAAAUCUAAGAGAAAUGUUUGGAAUGGCUAGAUGAUCCUAACAGAAGAAAUCUUACAGGUCUUUACUGCUAAACCUAAGGAGAUGAGAGUAAACAGUAAGUGGCCAACUCAAAGAAGCAUGGACUAUGUUGAAACAUGGACUAUAGCUGCAAUUUCCCAGUGGUGCAGUUUUCAAGCGCUUUACCCCAGGAGAGAAAAAAAUAAAUAAAUGAAAAGUAGCCAUUUCACCA
rnacentral:lncRNA from 1 species